CCUACGGGGGGCUGCAGUGGGGAAUAUUGGACAAUGGGGGCAACCCUGAUCCAGCCAUGCCGCGUGUGUGAAGAAGGCCCUCGGGUUGUAAAGCACUUUCAGUGAGGAAGAACGCCUGGUGGUUAAUACCCAUCAGGAAAGCCAUCACUCACAGAAGAAGCACCGGCUAACUCCGUGCCAGCAGCCGCGGUAAUACGGAGGGUGCGAGCGUUAAUCGGAAUUACUGGGCGUAAAGCGCGCGUAGGUGGCUUGAUAAGCCGGUUGUGAAAGCCCCGGGCUCAACCUGGGAACGGCAUCCGGAACUGUCAAGCUAGAGUGCAGGAGAGGAAGGUAGAAUUCCCGGUGUAGCGGUGAAAUGCGUAGAGAUCGGGAGGAAUACCAGUGGCGAAGGCGGCCUUCUGGACUGACACUGACACUGAGGUGCGAAAGCGUGGGUAGCAAACAGGAUUAGAUACCCUAGUAGUC
rnacentral:rRNA from 1 species